rnacentral:rRNA from 1 species
AUGAUGGCCAAAGGAUUUCUAGCCAAGAGUGAUAAUGCAGGGACAAAGAAAUCUCCCCUGCAAAUCCAGAUGCUAGAGAGUUUUUAUUCUGAGGUACAAUAUCCGAAGCCGGAGGAUCUGACAGAGUAUGCGGCAUCUGUUGGUUUGACUUACAACCAGGUCAGAAUAUGGUUCAAAGAGCGGAGGCGGAAAGAGAGGAGACACAUGGAAGCUGCAGAGGUUCAUGUGGAAACACAAGCUAGUGCAAGAUCAAAUUGGCCUAGAUGUAGCAGCAGCAGGUCUUCCAAUUCAAGCCAAUCUCCAAUGCAAGGUAUUGCGGGUUUGCAGCCCGAGGAUGACAUUACUCUUGGUAGGAGUAUGAGCCUUGUAGGAGAGAAACACACACUUCGAUCACAAGUCCUAUUUCCGAAGGAUUAUAUUCUGAGGAAAGUCUUCCGCAAGGAUGGUCCAUCUCUUGGGGGUGAUCCCGAUCUCCUUCCUGAAAGGGCACAUGUCCAUGUCAGGGUUGCAGAUACCACAGGACAUCAUUCCUACCAGGAUCAAAGCGUUUUGAAGAAGAGAAAGAUCAUGUCGCCUACUGCUCAGAGAUCCACUUUGCCAUUUGAGAAUAAUGAUCCUGUGAGGAAGCAUGGAAAGGGCAAAGGUUUAAUGACAGUGUGGCAUGCAAUGUAUUCCCAAACUGCAGAAAUUCAAGAUUGCUCCAGUUUCAUUGAUGAAAGUGGUUGCUUGAGGUCAUUGAGACCAUUCGAAGAUUUUGGUGGAAAGCUUGCCCAAAAACAAACUGUGCCACGAAAGAAAGUAAACAAAAAGAGUAGACCUCCACCGAGUAAAAGAAAGGUGCCAUGUGGCAGAGUUACUGAUUUGAAGGAGCAUCCUCCAGUGGAGUGCCAUCUUUCAGUUGAUGAAUCAGAAUCCUCAGAACUACGAACUGAACAGGCUACUUUAGUUGAUGAUGAGGAGCUUGAGCUCAGUGAGUUACAAGCAGGUCCUAAUCCGUUAAGAUGUUCAGCUCAUAUUUCUUCAACUGGGAGACAUGGGUGCCCCCUUUGUAAAGAUUUACUUGCCAGGUUUCCUCCACCAAGUGUCAGGAUGAAACAACCAUUUCCCACAAAACCUUGGGAGUCAUCACCUGAAAUGGUUGUCCGGUUUGUCUACACACAUUUUGGUAGUAUGGAUGUUCAUCCCUUUACGUUUGAUGAGUUUGCACAAGCAUUCCAUGACAAGGACUCCUCGUUGUUGGGGAAAGUACAUGUCAGUCUUCUCAAGCUACUUAUGUUAAACACAGAAAGGGGCAGCGGCAGUGUGUUUGUACCAAGAUCGUCUAAAGAUAGCAGAUUCUCAAGCUUUCUGAACUUUGUUAGAGAACAAGAAUUCGAUGUGAAUUUUUGGAUCAAAUCCCUGAAUUCUCUUACUUGGGUUGAAAUACUACGCCAGGUUCUGGUUGCUUCAGGUUUUGGUUCAGAUCAUCAUAUGCUGAAUCGGAAUUUCUUUAACAAGGAGAAAAAUCAAAUGGUUAAAUAUGGGUUACGUCCUCGUACACUGAAAGGUGAAUUGUUUACACUAUUGUCUAAGAAAGGAAGCGGUGGGUUAAAGGUUGCUGAACUUGCCAAAUCACCACAGAUUAUUGGUCUUAAUCUCUCUGGCGCAUCAGAAGUAGAGCAGCUUAUUUUCUCAACUCUCUCUAGUGACAUCACAUUGUUUGAGAAGAUUGCGCCUUCUGCAUAUCGUCUCCGUGUUGAUCCUCGGAUUAAAGGAAAAGAAGAUCCUAGAUCAGAUACCGAGGAUUCUGGAACUGUUGAUGAUGAUGGGGAUGCUAGCAGCAGUGGUGAUGAAUCUGAUGGUCCACAAGAGAGUUAUCCUGAGCAUGAAAGUAGAAUUGUCAGGUGGAGACAGAAAAACGUACAUAAAAAUAUGAAUAAAUGCAGUGAAAUUGAUGAAAGUUAUUCCGGAGAACGAUGGCUUCUGGGGUUGAUGGAAGGCGAGUACUCAGACCUAAGCAUCGAUGAGAAGCUGGAUUGCUUGGUUGCUUUGAUAGAUGUUGUUUCUGGUGCUGGUUCUGUUCCAAGGCUUGAGGAACCACAAAGUGUCCUGUCUAACAUACAGAGAGCACAGUCGCAUGCCUCAGGUGGGAAGAUAAAGAAGUGUACAAGAACCAUUUAUCAAUCUAGUGAUGAGUACUUAAAUAGACCAGGAAGCUCGCACAGUUUUGAUUCUUCUAUGCAAGGACAGUCAGGAACCCUGAGGAGUCAGGAUUACAUUGCCGACUCUGGAGCUAACGAAUCACCCACAGGAUUUGCACAUCAGCCACAAAUUGUUCUCUUAGGAUCAGAUCGCAGAUAUAACAAUUACUGGCUCUUCCUUGGUCCUUGUAGAGCAGAUGAUCCAGGGCACCGUAGGGUUUACUUUGAGUCCUCAGAAGAUGGUCACUGGGAAGUGAUAGAUUCACCACAGGAUUUACUCUCGCUGUUGUCUGUCCUAGACAUCAGAGGCACCAGGGAAGCUUAUCUUCUUGCAUCAAUGAAAAAGAGGCAAUCAUGUCUUUUUGAAGGCAUGAAAAAACACUUGGAAGAUGGGUGUGUAGUUGCGCUCACAGCAUCAUCUGAUUCUUCUCGUUCCGAGACAAGCAGUGGAAACAGAUAUUCACCCAAGCCAAGUAGUGGAGAUGGAGCUUCACCCCUAUCAGACAUUGACAGUGCUUCUGUUCCAACAUAUCUAGCUGGUAAUCUUCAAAAUGCAUCAUCUGCAAUAGGAAUUGAAGUUGGGAGGAGAAGUGAUGAGAAGAUGUUGAAGUGGGAAAGGUUGCAAGCGUUGGAUAAAUGGAUCUGGACUUCUUUUUAUUCUUCCCUCACUGCUGUUAAGUGUGGGAAGAGAUCAUUUAAGGAAUCACUUGUUCAUUGUGAAAGUUGUCAUGAUCUGUAUUGGAGAGAUGAAAAACAUUGCAGAAUAUGCCACUCUACUUUUGAGGUUGGUUUUGAUCUUGAAGAAAGAUAUGCUAUACAUGUGGCAACAUGCAGGGAGCCUGAGGAUUUGUACGAUGUGCCAAAUCAUAAAGUUCUUCCUUCGCAGCUACAGGCACUUAAAGCAGCCAUUCAUGCUAUUGAGGCACGCAUGCCUACGGCAGCUUUCGCUGGUUUGUGGAUGAAGUCUUCGCACAACCUGUGGGUUAAGCGGCUGCGACGAACAUCAUCAUUACCCGAGCUUUUGCAGGUUCUUGUUGAUUUUGUUGGGGCAAUUGAUGAGGAUUGGUUGUACCAAAGCUCAUCAGCAGUAAGCUUUAGUUCAUAUCUGGAUGACAUUACUGUAUACUUCCAAACGAUGCCACAAACGACGUCUGCAGUUGCACUCUGGGUUGUCAAAUUGGAUGCUCUCAUUGCACCUGAUUUGGCACAAGCUGAUUCUUGCAGAGGAUUAGGCAAAGGGUCCAUACAGACAAGAGCGUAG